rnacentral:misc_RNA from 1 species
UCCGGUUUGUCACCGGCAGUCUCGCAUGAGUCCCCAACUUAAUGCUGGCAACAUGCGACGGGGGUUGCGCUCGUUGCCGGACUUAACCGAACAUCUCACGACACGAGCUGACGACAGCCAUGCAACACCUGUGUUCCCGCCAGCCGAACUGAAGGAUGAGGUCUCCCCCACCCACACGGGACAUGUCAAAAGCUGGUAAGGUUCUUCGCGUUGCGUCGAAUUAAACCACAUGCUCCACCGCUUGUGCGGGCCCCCGUCAAUUCCUUUGAGUUUCACCCUUGCGGGCGUACUCCCCAGGUGGAUAACUUAACGCUUUCGCUAAGACGCUGGCCGUGUAUCGCCAACAUCGAGUUAUCAUCGUUUACAGCGUGGACUAC